ensembl:lncRNA
CCCCACUGCAGUUUCUUUGUUUCUUGUUCUCCCUGCCUAAAACAACUAAAAAAAAUGUCUCCAGGUCCUUCCCUGGUGGUGCAGUGGUUGAGAAUUCACCUUCCAAUGCAGCAGUGGAGGUUCUGAUCCCUGGUCGGGGAACGGCGAUCCCACGUGCCGCAGAGCUACUGAGCAGGCAGGCUUCAACUGCUGACCCCACGCCACGACUGGAGAGUCCGUGCACGACAACGAAAGAUCCCACAUGACACAGCUCAGACCUGAUACACUCAAGGCUGCUGGGGUGAGCAGUACACCCCCAGCACGACCCCAGGCACAGCGUUUGCCUCAGAGUACAUCGUGAGAAACGCUGGGCUAGAAGAAGCACAAGCUGGAAUCAAGAUUGCUGGGAGAAAUAUCGAUAACCUCAGAUAUGCAGAUGACACCACCCUUAUGGCAGAAAGUGAAGAAGAACUAAAAAGCCUUGAUGAAAGUGAAAGAGGAGAGUGAAAAGGUUGGCUUAAAGCUCAACAUUCAGAAAACUAAGAUCAUAACCCUGUAUGCGAGACAGCAAAAGAGACACAGAUGUGUAGAACAGUUUUUUGGACUCUGUGGGAGAGGGAGAGGGUGGGAUGAUUUGGGAGAACGGC